CUGACCGUAAACGAUGCCAACUAGCGAUCCGACGGUGGCUCUUAGGCCCUGUUGGGGAGCUUCCCGGAAACGAAAGUCUUCCGGUUCCGGGGGAAGUAUGGUUGCAAAGCUGAAACUUAAGGAAUUGACGGAAGGGCACCACCAGGAGUGGAGCCUGCGGCUUAAUUUGACUCAACACGGGAAAACUCACCCGGCCCGGACACCGUGAGGAUUGACAGAUUGAUAGCUUUUUCAUGAUUCGGUGGUUGGUGGUGCAUGGCCGUUCUUAGUUCGUGGAUCGAUUUGUCUGGUUUAUUCCGAUAACGAGCGAGACUCCAGCCUACUAACUAGUGCGGGCAUUGUCUCUGUGCUUGUCACUUCUUAGAGGGAUUGGCUGCGCCUAGCGGCACGAAACGGAGCAAUAACAGGUCUGUGAUGCCCUUAGAUGUCCGGGGCUGCACGCGCGCUACACUGGCAAAGGCAGCGUGCUUGUCCGCCUCCGAAAGGAGCCGGUAAACCCUUGAAAAUUUGCCGUGAUUGGGAUCGGAAAUUGCAAUUAUUUUCCGUGAACGAGGAAUUCCUAGUAAGUGCGAGUCAUCAGCUCGCGUUG
rnacentral:rRNA from 1 species